rnacentral:rRNA from 1 species
ACAGCAGCAGCCGCGGGAACACCAGCACCUCGAGUGGUCAGGAGGUUUAUUGGGCCUAAAGCAUCCGUAGCCGGUUGCAUAAGUUUUCGGUUAAAUCUAUGCGCUUAACGUAUAGGCCGCCGAAAAUACUGUGCAGCUAGGGAGUGGGAGAGGUACACGGUACUCGAUAGGAAGGGGUAAAAUCCUUUGAUCUAUUGAUGACCACCUGUGGCGAAGGCGGUGUACCAGAACACGUUCGACGGUGAGGGAUGAAAGCUGGGGGAGCAAACCGGAUUAGAUACCCGAGUAGUCCCUGUCUCUUAUAC